UACGAAGGGGGCUAGCGUUGCUCGGAAUUACUGGGCGUAAAGGGCGCGUAGGCGGUUCUAUAAGUCAGGCGUGAAAUUCCUGGGCUUAACCUGGGGGCUGCAUUUGAUACGUGUGGGCUUGAGUGGGGAAGAGGGUCGUGGAAUUCCCAGUGUAGAGGUGAAAUUCGUAGAUAUUGGGAAGAACACCGGUGGCGAAGGCGGCGACCUGGUCCUUGACUGACGCUGAGGCGCGAAAGCGUGGGGAGCAAACAGG
rnacentral:rRNA from 1 species